rnacentral:rRNA from 1 species
UUCUUCAAGAAGAGUAGGGGAAACAGAUUAAAAAAAAGAAGAAUAGGGCAGGGUGGCGAGGGGGUAAGGUACCACCGGCGGGGAGUGAAGGUAAGGAACACCUACAUCAUGGAGUAGUCCGGCGGGAAAGGAAAGCAGGGGCGGCGGCCGCGCUCCGGAGUUGACGAGAGGGGUGACGGAGGAGAGGGGCCGUGCGUCAGCGUGCGGCGUAGGAGAGGGCGGUGUAGCAGCGGGUCGGGUAGGAGAGGGGGAGGGGUGCCGGAACGCGGCGGCGGAGGAGAGGGGUGGUAUUGGAGCGGAACGGCGAUUGUGGCAGCCAGAAGGGAUCUAGCUGAGACGGCAGCGGCAUGUGUACAGGGUCACGUCUAGGUCUACGCUCGAUCUCCUCGCACGACCUGUGCUACGCCCUCGUCCGUAGAGCCUCGCCGGGCUCCAAGACACGCAGAGCACGGGGACACUAUCAGCCGGAGCACGAACCGAGGGUGUAAGUUAGGCCCUUCCGCGAGCGUCGAGCGAAUGCACGAGCUGAUGAGGUCAAUGAACUACCUAAGUCCGAUGAUAUUCUUUACCGUUGAACCCCGUACUGAACGUUCUUUCCCUAAGAUACUGUCUUACUGUAACGAAGUACCA